AAAGUCCCGGUUGGGUAAGGGCUAGCCACCCACCCGUAUCGAGUGUUGGUCCUGCUGCGGAGCUUUGUGCCCCGCGAACAAAUGUGCAGGGCAAGCGUACACAGAGAAUCCUGUAGGCCGUAGGGGAGACUGCGCUCCCUGAAGUGCUGGUACAGCUUCGAGAAACCUAACCCGCCGAUGACGACAGUGUUAACGUCCUGGAAGUCAACAUAAAGCACGCGCUACGAGGCAAGUGUGUAGAUGUUCGCCGGAGUCCUUACCUC
rfam:Tncultured Thiohalocapsa sp. PB-PSB1 scaffold_523, whole genome shotgun sequence.